rfam:Schistosoma haematobium scaffold443_25, whole genome shotgun sequence.
AGCCUCCUGAACGUGUGCUGAGAUUUCGUCGGACGCCAGACCAUCAAUACUGAUGAGACUUCCAAGAUGAAUGGAGCA